rnacentral:lncRNA from 1 species
AAAAAAAAAAACGUCGAUUAAGUUGUUUGAUCAAUUUAUGUUUUUCGAAUUUUCCAAAAACGAUCUAUAAAUCGUUUUCUCGGGAAAAAACGGUUUAGAAUACCCAAAAUCAUAAUUUUAAUCUUAAAAACAUGAGGAUGGCUCUGAUACCACUGUUAGAAAAUUGCGUACGGUAAAAUGCAGCGGAAAAGAAAAUCAAACAAAUUUGAUUUUGAAAACUCUCGAGAUCUAAUCUCAAAACCACGCAAUUAGGAUCCCUCAUAUUUUAAGAUUAAAGAAGAAAAACAAGAUCGAAUCUUUACCUUUUUCGCGGAUAGAUCUUCCCCUCAAUUUGAUGAUCGUGGAAUUCGGUUCUCUUGAAGCCGCACACGCGUCCGGCCUCUAUAGGUAUCCACACGAGGUUCUUGAUUUGAUCGAUGUCCUCACCGGGGUGCUAGCUCCCUUGCAAAAGGACGUCUUUCUUGCUAGAAGAUGGAAGAGAGAAGAGAGGAUAGAUGACGGCUAGGGUUUUCUAAAACUCCCGUAUAUUAUAUAUAGGAAUAUAAUCCUAUUCCUAAUAAUAUAAUGACAAUUAAGG